rnacentral:rRNA from 1 species
CUAGCGACUUCAGAGUUUGAUCCUGGCUCAGGACGAACGCUGGCGGCAUGCCUAACACAUGCAAGUCGAACGGAGCCAUCUGAACAAUCCCUUCGGGGUGCGUUCGGGAAGCUUAGUGGCGGACGGGUGAGUAACGCGUGAGUAACCUGCCUUUCAGAGGGGGAUAACGUUCCGAAAGGAACGCUAAUACCGCAUAACGUAUUUUUACUGCAUGGUAGAGAUACCAAAGAUUUAUCGCUGAAAGAUGGACUCGCGUCUGAUUAGCUAGUUGGAGGGGUAACGGCCCACCAAGGCGACGAUCAGUAGCCGAACUGAGAGGUUGAUCGGCCACAUUGGGACUGAGACACGGCCCAG